GGGCGGGUGCUUAGUUCAGGCCCGCCGUCGGGGCUUCUGCCCAGAAGGACUCCUGGGAGCGGGUCCCCUGCUCGUAAAAGCCGGGCCCCAAGGGACUUCUUGCUCCCUGCUUGUGGGCGCGGCCCAGAGUGUUCGGAGACCCAGGAGCUGGCAGGACGCCUCCCCGCCUGGAGCUAGGCGGCAUCUCGCACGCGUGAAGAGGCGCACCUGGGGACCAGGAAGGGAACAAGAAGGUCCUUGGUCCUCUCUGCUGCUGGCUGGCCUGCUGCAUCCAUGAGACCCGAGCAGACACGUAGACACACAGGAAAGCUGUCUGUCGGAGAAAGGGGCCAGAAACGAUGGAGCCGGAGCCCUGACAGAACUGGACCUGAAGCUCUCACAGGCGUGCGCUGCAGUAUAAAGAAAGGCAAGACUGUGUUGUGGCAGCUGUGAACACUCUCAGGACGGGACCGGACUUCAGGUCAAAGGCAAACUUCUUCACUGAGCUUUUAAGCCUUCCAUGUGCGUAACCAGUCCCCUAUGCACCUCCUCAGACCGUCCCCUUUUCCCGUCGCCCUCCUUUGCUCGCCCAUCCCAGAGGCCUUUCUGGGGGUGGGGGUGGGGUCCUCACAGCACAGGCAGCUGCCCAGAGCGGGGCCUACUGCUUAGGCCUGGGCUGCGGAGAAGCCUGAGCCCUCCCAGCAGGUCUCACUGAGCUGCCGGGGACACGGGGUGGGGGGGCUGGUGGCCGGAAACGGGAGAGAUACAGAGGUAGGGAAGGGGAACAGAGGGGAGGCAGUCAGAGGAUGCUUAAGGAAAGGUGGGGUGAGAGAGAGUAGAAAGAAAGAGUAGGAGGGGAGAGGAGAAUGGGCAGGUGGGAGGAGCAGGGAGGAGGGGGACGCGGGGAGAGGCCGGGAAGGAGCCCGGAAGGGCCAGGGCCAGGGCCAGGGCCGGCAGGCCACGGGAGCAACAGCGCGUCGCGGGAGUGCAGAGCUGAGCUCCGGCGGGAGCAGUUCCAUCAGCAGCACUUUACCAUACAAGUGCUUCUCAUCACAGCUGGUGCUAAGUGGACUGGGAGCAGCAGUAAAAAAACAGUUUUGUUUGAAAAAAA